rnacentral:rRNA from 1 species
CACGGCGCACGGGUGCGUAACACGUGGGUAAUCUGCCCUCCGAUGGGGAAUAACCCCGCGAAAGCGGGGCUAAUUCCGCAUAACAUUCCUUGGACUCCGGUUCGAGGAUUCAAAGGCGUAAGUCGUCGGAGGUGGAGCCCGCGCCCGAUUAGCUAGCUGGUGAGGUAACGGCUCACCAAGGCAAUGAUCGGUAGCUGGUCUGAGAGGAUGGCCAGCCACACUGGAACUGAGACACGGUCCAGACUCCUACGGGAGGCAGCAGUGGGGAAUCUUGCACAAUGGGCGAAAGCCUGAUGCAGCGACGCCGCGUGGGGGAUGAAGCAUUUCCGUGUGUAAACCCCUUUCGACUGGGACGAAUGCCUCGCAAGAGGAGUGACGGUACCAGUAUAAGAAGCCCCGGCUAACUACGUGCCAGCAGCCGCGGUAAGACGUAGGGGGCCAGCGUUGUUCGGAAUUACUGGGUGUAAAGGGUUCGUAGGCGGUGUAGCAAGUUGGGAGUGAAAUCUCUGGGCUCAACUCAGAGGCUGCUUCCAA